AAUGUAAGUUACGAGCAUAAAGGCAGAGAACCGAACUUUAAAACAACUGCGAAAGAAAUCAGCGACCGACAUAGAAGGAUAGAAAUAUACAAUUUGAAACUGUAGCACAAUUUAAGGCGUCAUGAAAAGAAACGUGUUUCCAGUAGUUUAAUGGCAUUACAGAUAGGUUGUAAAAGAAGUAGCCUAUUUAGGAAUAUAAUUAUAUCUAUAUGAUUAAAAUACUCUUUUACUAAGUUAUAAGAUGUAGUAAACAGUGAGUUAGAAGCAAGGUAUAUAAUUGCAGCUAGGUGUUGUAGAUGUUAUUAUGAAUAUGUGAACUUAUUUGGAUAUACAUCACUUCUAGAAGAUAGAAACGGUGACAAAUGAAUGAUACAACGAUGUGAAUUAACUGAUAAAGACAAAACGCUUUUCUUUGUUGCUUAGGGACGCGCACCUGAAAAUUUCCCCAAAGUUUUCCGGUUUGGUUGUACAAGUACCACCUAAACUAACUGGUGGCUGUGCGUACAACACGACACAACAAAAGCGUUAAUUACUUGGCCCGUGCUGCAGGAAUAAAAGCGCCCGAAUGCUAUCGAAUCGAGACGAGGCAACGUCACCAAGAACGAUAAUCAAAAACGAGAGUCACCUGAAGCUGUAAAAUAUUAAGUCAACUUUAUAAAGAUGAUGAUGCAAUGUGACGAGAUCCUCGGCAAUGGAAAAAUACAAAUAAUAUUCUGCUCGGCAAAAAGCCUGUCGUGUUUUAAUAUUUAAAGCAAGGUUGUAAAUAUAGGGAUGUAUCGAUUAUUCCGAUGUGAUGCUACUAUGCAAACGAAAAUACCUGUUUAAAUAAAUCGAGCAUAGCCUUUAAACCUUGGGCGUGGCAAGCAACGACGGUCGAUAUAUAACACGAGUGUUCUUCUGUUAACAUACACCUCGUGUCCGCUUACAAGUUACCAUGUAUGUAACUUUAUGAAUGUUUGUUUUCUUGCCUCACCCUACUUAUAUUCAAAUUUCGUAAAACGGACUUUGCUCCCGAAUUGUAGGCUACGCUUGUUUCCAUUGACAUUUUGGGAAAGUUCCAAUAAAACAAACUGACUGACGAGGCAAUAAAGUUUACUGUGCGGAGAUUUUUUAUAUAACUUUUAUUUAUUACAAAUAUUUAACUUCAACACACUGUUACCGUGUGUUGGGCUCAGCAAUCGCGUUUUUAUUUGUAGAGUUUAUACUCAUUGUUUAUAUUCAUGCUAUCAUGUACCACCAAGUAUUUGAUAUCUAUGUAUCACGUCAUAAUCAUGUUAUUAACUCGACUAACAAUAUACCGAGCUAACCAAGAGUCCAGUCUAGUUUUUAAAUGUUAUCAAAACUAGACAGUGGAACACUAUACUAUUUAGGCAUGUUUCAUCAAUGAUUUCCUAUAUACCCCGUUGCGUGUUUAACGACUGUCGUUUUGCUGUUAAUUAUUUUAUAUUUUUAUUUGAUUGAUUUGUUCUUUGCUAUCGUAUUAUAAGAAAGAAAUAAAUGCUUGAAUAAAGUUUAUUGUUACACUCCCCACCACAACAAAUUAAAGAAACUAAAGACAAACUAAACUAACCAGUACACUGUACGGUUUAGGGCUUAACGGUGCACUAACUUAACUAUACAGAACAACCGCAACACGAGCAAACUGAGUAAGUUGGAACUAAAGCGACAAACACGUCGCUAUAUGUUGAUCGCAAGACGGGCGCUAUGUAAAUUGUGAGGGAAGCAGUAACUAUGGUGGCUCAAUGCAACCUACUACGGUUAAGUUACAAACAAUAUUAUGAUGUCUAUAAAGCGUAUACGGGUGUGGAUUAUUAUGUAUAGUAGGAUGGGGGAAGAUGGGACACCUUUUCGUUUA